rnacentral:misc_RNA from 1 species
AGUCUGGAUCUGUCAAACAAAGUGAGAUAAAGGAGAGCUGUGUUAAUGGUGUUUCUUGAAAUUUUGCAGUUGUGCUCGAUUAUUAAGCGAUAACAACCGGUUGUAUGAGUCGAUGAGAGUAGAUUCUCUGACGCCGUUCAAGUUGCGCAUGUCAGACUCAACGAUGGUCGUUUAAAAACGAGCGCGAGCUCACCACAGAAACACAGUCAUUUAGAACGCGCGAGUCGAAAAUCCGUUAUCAAGUGAUAAUUUUAGAAGAGUGCAUUUCCGAUUUGAUAAAAUCGGAAUAGUUUUUUUAUAAUUGUUUCAAUAAGGCUACACAGUGAACGCAAAAUCGAGUAAAUACGGCAAGACCAAGUCUGCCGCCAUGCAUGGAAUGAACUAUAUUGGUCGUUUCUUUCACAAUUUUAAAGAGUUUUAUAACGACAUCAAUGGGGCAACUUUAACGGGGGCUAUAGAUGUUAUCGUGGUGGAACAACAAGAUGGAAGUUACAACUGCAGCCCUUUUCACGUUCGAUUUGGAAAAUUGGGAGUGUUAAGAAGUAAAGAGAAGAUUGUUGAUAUUGAAAUUAAUGGAGAACCACAAGAGAUUCAUAUGAAAUUGGGCGAAAGUGGUGAGGCAUUCUUCGUUGAAACAAAUAGUCCGGAAACUGAAGAAAUCCCGGAUCAUUUAGCGACCUCCCCGAUUCCAAUUUCACAUUUAGAAGAACUUUAUAACGCUCAAGGACGUCGAAGAAAUAGUAUUAGUUUGGUUGAAGACAGCAAAGAGUUUGCGAAGAUUGAAAAUCAAGUUAAUGAUUAUACCAAGCGUAGAUACACCGCGGGAAAUGAUGAUGAACGUAAUAGAAAAAGAGAAUUCUUGGAAAGACAAAUUGUUCUUGGAAACAUCGAAGUUCGAGAACAAAGUACUGAAGAUUUAUCGCUCUCUAUGCAAUCUGCGAAGUUAACCAGUGAUGAUAUAACUACCAAAGAUGAUGUUUCUGAAACUAUAUUCCAUAUGGACAGUUUGGAUAUGGAUAGCAAAUCGGAGGAUAAAAACGAAGAAAUUUUACCUAAAAAGGAGUUAUUGAAUAAAGUUCAGUUACCCACCACUCCAAGUCAAGUUCAAAUUCAAAUUGAAAAUGAAGUUACUAGAAGUGGAAAUAAAAAGAAGAAGAGGAAGAAGUCUUUGAUGAAAAAGAAAAAUUCCCAAAGAAAAACUUCCGCCGUUAACGAACCUCAACAAGAAGGAGUGGGUGAAUCAGCUCAGGAAUCUUCCACUAGUGAUGUUAAAGGUGAAACUUCGUCCACCGAUAGAAGUUCUAUGGGAAGUGCACCAGAAGAAAUAGAACAGAAGGAAUUACCAAAAAUCGACACCGAUGCUAGUCCUUGUUCAAAUAAUAGUAGAAAAGUUCUAGAUCCAGAAUUUCAUUUCUUCAGCGACACCGAAUUAACAACUGGGCAAGAAGAUUCCAGACCGAAUACACCAAUUCACAUCGAAUCUGUUCAAUCAGAUACAGAAUUUGAAGUCCAAAAAAGCAAAGGGGGGAAAAAUGACAAUGAUUCAACUCAAAGCUGGGCUUGGGGUGAAUUCCCAGUUAAUGUUGAAGGAUCAACUGGAACAAGUGGAAGCACUCAACAAAUUGAUAAAGAGCAACAACACAACUCGAUGCUUAGCAGUAUGUUUUCGUUUAUGAAACAAACGAAAUAUAGGCAAAGAAAUAGUGCUAGUGAAGGAAUGUAUCUCGCCGAAUUAAGUUCUGGGGCUAUUGAUCCAAGUGUUGCUGCUUUGUAUUUCCAAGGAGCUAGACAAAAGAAAGAUGGAGAUAUGGAUUGCGAAUCAGGAAAUGGUCCAUCUUUAACUCAAAGCCCAAAUAGCGUCGAAGGAUCUAAAUCCAUUGACUCAGACUUUGAUGAUCCAAAAAUUGUUAAUUCAUAUUUCCAAGAUGUCGCUUUAUCAAUGUGCGGUUGGGAGCCUGAACCAAAUGAACGUAAUUUUAUUAAACACAUCGUUCCAUUCAGCGAUUUAUGCAACAAUCCGUCUCUACUUGAAUCCCCAAAUCUAGUCGUGCGACUUCGUAAUAAGUAUUACACGUGGAAAGUUGCAGCUCCUAUUAUUUCUAGUAUCGUCAUAUACCAAAGACCCCUACCACAACCAACUGUAGAUCAGUUAUGUAAUUUGCACAUGCCACAACCUUCAUCUGCGCAAGAAAAAGAACAAAAGGAGGAGAAACAACAGGAAAGUCGUUAUUCUUGGUUUAAAUGGGGACGGAGCAGGACUUCGCGGGAAACCACGCCCGCCUUGGAAAGCGUUCCAAUUGAAAUUGCUAAAGAAAUUAUCAAAGAUAAAGUAGAAGAUGAUAAGGACAAUCCUAAUACUUCAAUUGAUAUAGAAGCUAUUGAAGAAACAAGAUCGAACAGUUCAGGAAGUGAAACUGGAAAAGAUAUUUCUGAAGUAAAAAGUAUGACUGAACAAACCACUUCAACUUCUGUAGAAAAAUGCAGAAAAACUCUUAGGCUUACUUCUGAUCAAAUUGCACGUUUAAAUCUUCGAGAUGGAAUGAACGAGGUUGAAUUUAGCGUAACAACAGCUUAUCAAGGAACGACAAGAUGCAAGUGUCACCUUUAUAAAUGGAAAUGGGACGACAAAAUUGUUAUUUCCGAUAUUGACGGAACAAUAACAAAGUCUGAUGUUUUGGGACACAUUCUUCCAAUCGUUGGAAAAGAUUGGGCUCAAUCUGGAGUAGCUCAACUUUUCAAUAAAAUCAAAGAUAACGGCUAUAGGCUUUUGUAUUUAAGCGCAAGGGCGAUUGGUCAAGCGAGAUUAACUCGCGAAUAUUUGAAGUCAAUUCGUCAGGGUGAUUUAACAAUGCCAGAUGGACCGUUACUUUUGAAUCCAACCUCUUUAAUCACAGCUUUUCAUCGAGAAGUUAUUGAAAAGAAACCUGAACUGUUUAAAAUAAGCUGUUUAAGCGAUAUUCGUGCGCUGUUUCCAUCCGAUUCAAAUCCAUUUUAUGCUGGAUAUGGAAAUAGAAUCAAUGAUGUUUGGGCUUAUACAGCUGUUGGUAUUCCAAUUGUUCGUAUUUUUACAAUUAAUCCUAAAGGUGAACUCAAACACGAAUUGACUCAAACAUUCCAAUCUAGUUAUACCGGUCAGUCGUUGGUAGUGAACGAUGUUUUUCCUCCAAUGAUGCAUAAGCUUCUUACUUAUGAUACGGAAAACGACAGUGAUUUUGAUGAGUCAGAUUUAACUGACGAUGAUUAACGUUAGCUUCUUUUAGGCCUUGACCUUAGUUAUUAAAUGUAAUUUAUUUAUUUAAAGAAAUGUUUGCAUCUUCAUUUUUUGUGUGUCAUCAAAUCAUUUCUAAUUCAUUUAACUAAAUCAACUAACACUAUUAGAAUGUUGGAUGCAAACGUUUCGAAAAGUAGUUAGUUCAAAAUUAUUAUUUAUGUAUAAAUGACACAAUAGUGAGAUUUUAUGGUUAAUUAUCAUCCCUAUGAUGUCUUUCUACUAAAAGUAACGUUAUUCGAACAUGACAUAUAUUGUUGAUCAACUCUUUCCAUCAUUACCAGAGGAUGCAACAGAUUAUUCUCAAUUUGUUUAUUGGCGUGAGCC